rnacentral:lncRNA from 1 species
GGUGCCAAAACCCCCUAGCGGAAAAAUGGCCAAAAAACGGGUGGGCUAUAGCCUUGGUGGGGGGCGCGGACGAAGUUCGUCCGCCGGACUCGGAAUGGGGCGAGACUUUGCUAGGGGCCUCGGGGUGCCAAAAAUAAGCCGCGGGCAAAGCCGCGCCCAAACAUAAGCGCCCGAAGGUCGUGGUGCCAAAACCCCCUAGCGGAAAAAUGGCCAAAAAACGGGUGGGCUAUAGCCUUGGUGGGGGGCGCGGGCGACGUUCGUCCGCCGGACUCGGAAUGCGGCGAGACUUUGCGAGGGGCCUCGGGGUGCCAAAAAUAAGCCACGGGCAAAGCCGCGCCCAAAAAUAAGCGCCCGAAGGUCGAGGUGCCAAAACCCCCCAGCGGAAAAAUGGCCAAAAAACGGGUGGGCUAUAGCCUUGGUGGGGGGCGCGGGCGACGUUCGUCCGCCGGACUCGGAAUGCAGCGAGACUUUGCGACGGGCCUCGGGGUGCCAAAAAUAAGCCGCGGGCAAAGCCGAAAAAGGGGGACAGAAAAAUGGUAAAGUCCCCCCACCAAGCGCCCGAAGGUCGUGGUGCCGAAACCCCCCAGCGGAAAAAUGGCCAAAAAACGGGUGGGCUAUAGCCUUGGUGGGGGGCGCGGGCGAAGUUCGUCCGCCGGACUCGGAAUGCGGCGAGACUUUGCGAGGGGCCUCGGGGUGCCAAAAAUAAGCCGCGGGCAAAGCAGCGCCCGAAGGUCGUGGUGCCNNNNNNNNNNNNNNNNNNNNNNNNNNNNNNNNNNNNNNNNNNNNNNNNNNNNNNNNNNNNNNNNNNNNNNNNNNNNNNNNNNNNNNNNNNNNNNNNNNNNAUAGCCUUGCUGGGGGGCGCGGGCGACGUUCGUCCGCCGGACUCGGAAUGCGGCGAGACUUUGCGAGGGGCCUCGGGGUGCCAAAAAUAAGCCGCGGGCAAAGCCAAAAAAUGGGGCGAGAAAAAUGGUAAAGUCCCCCCACCAAGCGCCCGAAGGUCAUGGUGCCGAAACCCCCCAGCGGAAAAAUGGCCAAAAAACGGGUGGGCUAUAGCCUUGGUGGGGGGCGCGGGCGAAGUUCGUCCGCCGGACUCGGAAUGCGGCGAGACUUUGCGAGGGGCCUCGGGGUGCCAAAAAUAAGCCGCGGGCAAAGCAGCGCCCGAAGGUCAUGGUGCCAAAACCCCCUAGCGGAAAAAUGGCCAAAAAAAAGGUGGGCUAUAACCUUGGUGGGGGGCGCGGGCGACGUUCGUCCGCCGGACUCGGAAUGCGGCGAGACUUUGCGAGGGGCCUCGGGGUGCCAAAAAUAAGCCGCGGGCAAAGCCGCGCCCAGAAAUAAGCGCCCGAAGGUCGUGGUGCCAAAACCCCCCAGCGGAAAAAUGGCCAAAAAACGGGUGGGCUAUAGCCUUGGUGGGGGGCGCGGGCGAAGUUCGUCCGCCGGACUCGGAAUGGGGCGAGACUUUGCGAGGGGCCUCGGGGUGCCAAAAAUAAGCCGCGGGCAAAGCCGCGCCCAAAAAUAAGCGCCCGAAGGUCGUGGUGUCAAAACCCCCCAGCGGAAAAAUGGCCAAAAAACGGGUGGGCUAUAGCCUUGGUGGGGGGCGCAGGCGAAGUUCGUCCGCCGGACUCGGAAUGCGGCGAGACUUUGCGAGGGGCCUCGGGGUGCCAAAAAUAAGCCGCGGGCAAAGCCGCGCCCGAAGGUCGUGGUGCCAAAACCCCUCAGCGGAAAAAUGGCCAAAAAACGGGUGGGCUAUAGCCUUGAUGGGGGGCGCGGGCGACGUUCGUCCGCCGGACUCGGAAUGCGGCGAGACUUUGCGAGGGGCCUCGGGGUGCCAAAAAUAAGCCGCGGGCAAAGCCGCGCCCAAAAAUAAGCGCUCGAAGGUCGUGGUGCCAAAACCCCCUAGCGGAAAAAUGGCCAAAAAACGGGUGGGCUAUAGCCUUGGUGGGGGGCGCGGGCGACGUUCGUCCGCCGGACUCGGAAUGCGGCGAGACUUUGCGAGGGGCCUCGGGGUGCCAAAAAUAAGCCGCGGGCAAAGCCGCGCCCAGAAAUAAGCGCCCGAAGGUCGUGGUGCCAAAACCCCCCAGCGGAAAAAUGGCCAAAAAACGGGUGGGCUAUAGCCUUGGUGGGGGGCGCGGGCGAAGUUUGUCCGCCUGACUCGGAAUGGGGCGAGACUUUGCGAGGGGACUCGGGGUGCCAAAAAUAAGCCGCGGGCAAAGCCGCGCCCAAAAAUAAGCGCCCGAAGGUCGUGGUGCCAAAAACCCCCAGCGGAAAAAUGGCCAAAAAACGGGUGGGCUAUAACCUUGGUGGGGGGCGCGGGCGAAGUUCGUCCGCCGGACUCGGAAUGGGACGAGACUUUGCGAGGGGCCUCGGGGUGCCAAAAAUAAGCCGCGGGCACAGCCGCGCCCAAACAUAAGCGCCCGAAGGUCGUGGUGCCAAAACCCCCCAGCGGAAAAAUGGCCAAAAAACGGGUGGGCUAUAGCCUUGAUGGGGGGCGCGGGCGACGUUCGUCCGCCGGACUCGGAAUGCGGCGAGACUUUGCGAGGGGCCUCGGGGUGCCAAAAAUAAGCCGCGGGCAAAGCCAAAAAAUGGGGCGAGAAAAAUGGUAAAGUCCCCCCACCAAGCGCCCGAAGGUCGUGGUGCCGAAACCCCCCAGCGGAAAAAUGGCCAAAAAACGGGUGGGCUAUAGCCUUGGUGGGGGGCGCGGGCGAAGUUCGUCCGCCGGACUCGGAAUGCGGCGAGACUUUGCGAGGGGCCUCGGGGUGCCAAAAAUAAGCCGCGGGCAAAGCCGCGCCCAAAAAUAAGCGCCCGAAGGUCGUGGUGCCAAAACCCCCCAGCGGAAAAAUGGCCAAAAAAUGGGUGGGCUAUAGCCUUGGUGGGGGGCGCGGGCGAAGUUCUUCCGCCGGACUCGGAAUGCGGCGAGACUUUGCGAGGGGCCUCGGGGUGCCAAAAAUAAGCCGCGGGCAAAGCCGCGCCCAAAAAUAAGCGCCCGAAGGUCGAGGUGCCAAAACCCCCCAGCGGAAAAAUGGCCAAAAAACGGGUGGGCUAUAGCCUUGGUGCGGGGCGCGGGCGACGUUCGUCCGCCGGACUCGGAAUGGGGCGAGACUUUGCGAGGGGCCUCGGGGUGCCAAAAAUAAGCCGCGGGCAAAGCUGCGCCCAAAAAUACGCGCCCGAAGGUCGUGGUGCCAAGACCCCCCAGCGGAAAAAUGGCCAAAAAACGGGUGGGCUAUAGCCUUGGUGGGGGGCGCGGGCGAAGUUCGUCCGCCGGACUCGGAAUGCGGCGAGACUU